CAGGGCUUAACACAUGCAAGUCGAGGGGUAUCCCGCUUUCGGGCGUGAGAGACCGGCGCACGGGUGCGUAACGCGUAUGCAAUCUACCUUUUUACAGAGGGAUAGCCCAGAGAAAUUUGGAUUAAUACCUCAUAGUAUGUGAGAAUCGCAUGGUUUUUCACAUUAAAGUCACAACGGUAAAAGAUGAGCAUGCGUCCCAUUAGCUUGUUGGUAAGGUAACGGCUUACCAAGGCAACGAUGGGUAGGGGUCCUGAGAGGGAGAUCCCCCACACUGGUACUGAGACACGGACCAGACUCCUACGGGAGGCAGCAGUGAGGAAUAUUGGACAAUGGGCGCAAGCCUGAUCCAGCCAUGCCGCGUGCAGGAUGACGGUCCUAUGGAUUGUAAACUGCUUUUGUACAGGAAGAAACACUCCCUCGUGAGGGAGCUUGACGGUACUGUAAGAAUAAGGAUCGGCUAACUCCGUG
rnacentral:rRNA from 1 species